rnacentral:rRNA from 1 species
GAUGAACGCUGGCGGCGUGCCUAAUACAUGCAAGUCGAGCGAACGGACGAGAAGCUUGCUUCUCUGAUGUUAGCGGCGGACGGGUGAGUAACACGUGGAUAACCUACCUAUAAGACUGGGAUAACUUCGGGAAACCGGAGCUAAUACCGGAUAAUAUUUUGAACCGCAUGGUUCAAAAGUGAAAGACGGUCUUGCUGUCACUUAUAGAUGGAUCCGCGCUGCAUUAGCUAGUUGGUAAGGUAACGGCUUACCAAGGCAACGAUGCAUAGCCGACCUGAGAGGGUGUUCGGCCACCCUGGAACUGAGACACGGUCCAGACUCCUACGGGAGGCAGCAGUAGGGAAUCUUCCGCAAUGGGCGAAAGCCUGACGGAGCAACGCCGCGUGAGUGAUGAAGGUCUUCGGAUCGUAAAACUCUGUUAUUAGGGAAGAACAUAUGUGUAAGUAACUGUGCACAUCUUGACGGUACCUAAUCAGAAAGCCACGGCUAACUACGUG